rnacentral:rRNA from 1 species
AUGUGUGCGUCUCUGUGUCCGGGUGAAAACAGGAGCGAUCGAUGGUGGGUUGCCAGGGGCGUUCGUGGGUUGGCAGGGCGUUUUUUUACCGUCCUCGUUUGCACCCAGCGGCCGCGCCUCCGCUUCAGCCGCGACGGGCCCAUCUGUCGGUCUCGCAGGUGCGCGCCUCGGAGAGAGCAGCGACCGAGCGGGCGACCUGGGCUAGCAGGCACGACAGAAAAUAAAAGGGGAAGCGGCAGCGAGAGAAAAGAGGAAAAGCAGUCAGACCUAGCCCGCGCCCCUGCAGCCGCCUCCUCUCCUGCCGCCGUCGCCGCCUCGGCCUCGUCCGCCUCUUCUCCUGCCGCCGCCGCCUCGGCCUCGGCCGGCCCUGCUCUGCCGGCGCCCGUCGGCCUUGAUCCGGCCUCGGCAGGAGGAGCUCGCCCUUGA